GAUUUGGGGGGAGUGUUCAAAUUUUAUUCAGAGGCCAGUCUUGCAGAUACAGUGCGCCCCAAGAACUCUGUCUUUAACUUAAGUCACUGAUUUCUCUGGAGCUGGACCUUUGAGCCCUGCCUUCUGAGUCUCCCCCCCCCCCCCCCCCCCACCUCCCUGGGUGAAGUCCAUACCUGCGAAAUGAGACAAGGCCCCUUCCCUCACAGAGGCAUUGUGCUGGAGGUAAAUGGUAGGUCGCUCUGUGUCCUCCUUCCCCUUUCCAGAGAGGAGCUCCUAGAA